CCCUACCUUUCCUAAGUUUCUUUGUUCUGUCUCCGUCGUUGAAAGUGGUUGUUUUCUACAGUUCGCCCCAGUGGAUUGAUUAAAAGACUCCGUUUGUUGUAUAUCUGCCUCCUGCGUACUCCUUUGAACUCCUUCGCCUGGCAACCCCUGACAGAAGACAGGACCAACAAAAAGAUGGACUGGCUGAGGACGUUCUUCUGAACAUCCAGCAGGAUGGAAGGCCUUUGGCGCGAUAAUCAUCCUGAUCCCAUCCAGAAGCAUGUGAGCACUCCAGAUCACCACAAGCCAGCUCCCUCCACAUACCGCUCCAAUGAGCCCGCUCCCCUCGUUUCACCUGUGCCUUCUGGAUCCCGUCCAAGAUCCAUUCCAGCCCUCAGCCCAGAAAAUGAGUCACCAGUGCUCCUGGAUUUGCUGCUACCUCCGGGGUUCUCGGCUCCUAUUCUCUCGCCUGAAUCUGCUCUCCUGAGUCCAUCUCCGCUGGCCCUUUGUCUCUAGAGCGCCCCCCAGAGCUGGCUCCUCAAAAGCACCCCUCCAGAGCGCCCUCCAGUGUCUGCACAUAUUAAGCGCCCUCCAGAGCCCAUUCCUUGAGCGCCCCCCCCCAGGAAGAGUCCCCUGAUCCGGCAUGGCCUCCUGAGUCCCCUGAUCCGGCAUGGCCUCCUGAGUCCCCUGAUCCGGCAUGGCAACCUGAACUGCCUGCGCCGCCCUGGAGGCUUCCUUGGUCUUCGCCCUGUUCCAGUCCUGCACCAUCCCCCAUGGUGCCUGCCCCCCCUCCUUAAUUUCACCUACUUCAACUUGGUUUUCCUAUUCUCAUUUAGUUCAUUCAUUUAGUUUCCACCCGUGUUAAUCAUCUUAGUCUAUCGUUUGGUUCAGUAUAACUAGCCCUGCCUUUCCUAAGUUUCUUUGUCAGUUGAAAAUGGUUUUCUACAUUUCUCCCCAGUGGAUUUAUUAAAAGACUCUGUAUAUCUGCCUCCUGUGUAUGCCUUUGCCUGGAAACCCCUGACAAAAUCAUAUUUUCCCCUAAGGUUCUUUGAAUAAAAUAAUUUGCGUUAUACAUGUCUUUACUAAAACAAAAAAUGCGCAUACAAGUAUCUAAAGCUAU
rnacentral:lncRNA from 1 species